rnacentral:lncRNA from 1 species
UCCAUUUUGUUGAGAGACCAUUAACGAGAGAGUUUAACCAGAUAUUUUAUCAUCAAUUUGCAGAGAAUCCAUAUUUGUUAUUUUCUUUUCGUUUCUAAUUACAUGAGAUUUUAUCAUCAAUAUGAUUCUACUUUCUGUUACAGGGGACUUAGAGCUUUACUUGUUGGCGUGUUGGGAUUAUCCGACUAUUCCUUGCCAAAGUCCAGAGAGAUUUUGUAAUAUGUUUCUAGAUUUGACCAUAGCCAUUUGCUGAUGUGGGUCAACUGUUCACAGCCAUGUUUGUCGGGUGGAAAAAGCGUAGCUGUUUCGGUCAUAAGCUUGGUGUUGCGUAAUCAGAGGAUGGCUAGCUUCUGCUUGCAAUCCCAGUCGUAGCCAUGGAGAUGUUAUGAUAUGAUAUAGGAGCAACUUUGGCUUGUGGGACUGGAGCGUGUGUAGUAGUUGUUGCGGCUAUUCUCAAGGGUUGUUCUGAGAGAUUGAUUUACCAGGAGGGCCAUUGGAUAUAGAAUGGAGGGAGGAUAACCAUGUGUACAUGAUGGGUCCUGUAGAAGUAGUGUUUUUUUUGGAUCUUUUCAGCUCUAGGAUUCGUACAAUCUCAAAAUAAUUUCCAAAUUUGUGGGAAGUGAGUUAUGAGGAUUGAGGUCUCUAGUAUCGUCAAUAUUUCUUAUGUCUCCAAUGUUUCAUCAGGAGGUACUGAAUGCGGUUACUAUGUGAUGAAGUUCAUGAAGGAGAUAGCUUACGAAUGAGUUGAAAUACUUGACAAUGAUAAUGUUGGGAAAGGAGUAAAGGAAUACUCUGCUGCGGAUAUGUAUGGCAUUCGCGAAGAUUGGUCGACUUAUGCGGUUACCUCUAUUUUUAAGUGACAAAUCGUAUUUUAGGUGUUGACGAUGUAUUGACAAACAAUUCUUUCUUUUUUUGUUAACGUUAAAAUAUUUGUAGUAUACUUGGCAAAAGAUUAUGUAAUGGAAUGGUUUGAUACAUAUAUGUCCGUAUUUGUUUUACGAAAGAGAUUUAUUGUUUUUGU